UGGCUGUAGCUACAUGAAUGCAUUUGAUUGAGAAGUUAACUGGCCGGUUUUUGUUCUCUCCUGUCAACAAAUCUGCUUACCGAACUUCUCACACUU
rnacentral:snoRNA from 1 species